AUUGCAAGCUGCUUUUAGCUUCACGGGCAGUCAUUGGAACCUUAUUCAUGAACACAUUUGCAAUAUCCUCUGAGAACUCCCGGGAAAAAAGUGGGAGAAUGUGAAGACCCCAGAGGGCCUAAGUUGCAAAUGAGCUUAUUGUCACUUUGAUCUCAGCUUUCAAGACACACAACUUCUUCUCUAACAGAAACAUAAAUGGCUGAUCAAAGUGUGCUUGCAGAGGCCAAGUUCAGAGCAAUCCGGAUUGGUGAUAUGCUGGAUCCUACUUUCCUCUCUCGAAGCCCAGGGGGAAAGAGUUUCCUGCUGUUCAUCUCCUGGUGGCCAGGGCACAGACAGGAUCUGGGGAGUCAGACUGGUCGCUCCUAACUCAGGCUUUGUCUUUGGAUCCUUGGAGUCAGAGCUGAGAAAAAAGUUAGGAUUCAUUUUGGAGGAAAACGCAGUAGCAGCAGUGACGCCCAACAUCCUGGCAAGAUUGUUCCAGAGGCCCAGUGUUCCAGAGCUCCCUCGGUCCCCACGCUUUUUCAAACCUGUUCCUUCUGCCUCCUGUUGAUUCUGUGAGUACCAGAUUUCCUUCCAAUAAAUCCCACUAGAGGCGUUGUCAGCACCAGAUUUCCUUCCAGUAAGUCCCACCAGAGAUGAUGCCUGCUGCAUGCAACCAGAACCCUCAACGACACAAGGCGACCCUCUGUGAAGAGAGGGGUUUGUGUUUUACGAGUCCACUGGGUUCUUGCUUUCCUCAGCCCUCUUAGGGCUUGCAAAACUUUGGGAUAAGAGGAUCUGAGCUCCUGCCAGAGCCCUUGAUGCUCUGCUCCUGACAUUUCAUGAGAGGACUGUGGCUCCUCCAUCUGCCACCUCAGGAAGACCGCUAAGGCUGGCUCGGGUGGAGAGUGAAGGCAGGGAGUGGACAGGACCAUUUCACUCCAUCCUUCUCAGCUCCAAAGGGCAUCCUCCUGCUGCCCAUAGCAGAAGGCACAAAGCAAUUACCACUUUGACUUUGAAUUGAAUGGGCCAAUGACUGCAAGAUGCACAAUUAUUUUAUAUACCACUGAGAAAGACGAUUACUGCUAUUAAACUAUAACACAUCAUCAAUUUUAAUGUGAAAAUUGUGAAUGUUAGAAAUGAUCAAAUACGUUGUGGCUUAUGAAAUGAAUAGAAACAAGCUUCCAAGAUGUAAACUGGCAAGGACACAGAGGCAAUUCUAAAUCAAGCUUACUAGUAUACUAUUAUUGGAGAAUAGACUUGGAGAGAUAUAAAGACCUGAGUUUUUCUGUUUUGUUUUGUUUGUUUGUUUUUUUGGAUAUGUUCUUUUCAACUUAAGAACAAAUGCCCUGGCCACUUUUAUAUAAUUCCAUGUAUGGAUAUUCAGAUGGUGAUUCUUCUUAUAACAUAUUUUUAAAUUUUUAAUAGAAAAAGGCUUAACCCCUUCAAGUUCUAUUAAAGUUUUAAAAAA
rnacentral:lncRNA from 10 species